CAACUGAGAUUGCCUUAGUAAUGGCGAAUGAACCGGCAAAAGCUCAUUGCUGAAGCGUGUUAGAUUUACUUCUGACAUGCAUUGUAGCAUUUGGGGUAACUACUGUAUGGUGCCUGUUCGUGUGAGUUCCUUUGAUCAGGGCUUUAACCAUAGAAGGUGCUAGUCCUAUAAUCACGAAUAGUUCUGUGCCGUACAUUGUCUACCUUUCGAGUAGCGUAGUUUGAGAUUGCUACGCCAACGUGGGACGUAAACUUGUUCCAAAGCUAAAUAUUAUAACGAGACCGAUAGCGAACAAGUACCGUGAGGGAAAGUUGAAAAGCACUCUGAAGAGAGAGUUAAAUAGUACGUAAAACCGUACAGAAGAAAACGAAUGGCCGCAUUCAUCAGAUUACUUUGGAUUCAAUUCGAUUUCUAUAUGAUGGUAAUACAUGUUGAUUUGGAACUUCAACAGUCCAUUGAUAUGUUCUUGCCUAGAAUCGGAUGCAUUUUCAAAGUAUUAACUGAACCUGGAUCUAUAACAUUACAGCUAGUCGAAUCAGUCUAUUUUGGUAGCGACUUUUAGUCGUGUUAAAAAUAUGACUUGCAUAAAUAACAAAUUCGACUUGGCGUUAUAGGUAAACUGACGUGUUCUUUGAUUUCAGUACUUUCGAGUACGGCACGCCAUGAGCAUUGUUUGUGUUACAUGAGUAACUAAUAUCUAAACAAUAUUAGUUUUAUUCAUUGUCAAUGCCUAAUGUUUUGUGGCUGUCAAUGAAAUCGGCAAGUCAACAGGAGUUUUGAAUGCCGAGUUAUUCGACCCGUCUUGAAACACGGUCUAAGGAGUUCACUGCAUGUGCAAGAGUUCGGCUGUAUGAAAAGCCUUGCUCGUAAUGAAAGUAAAGAACAUUCUUGCAAUGUUUGAAGUGUGAUUUCUGUCAUCUUGGUGCAAAUCAUGACAAUGAACGCAACACUGACAGGUUCUAUUGCCGCUGGCAAAGAGCUUAGUAAGAGUAUAUGCAAUGAGACCCGAAAGAUGGUGAACUUAACGUGUGUAGAAUGAAGCCAGGGGAAACCCUGGUGGAAGUUCGUAGCGGUUCUGACGUGCAAAUCGAUCGUCAAACAUGCGUAUAGGGGCGAAAGACUAAUCGAACCAUCUA
rnacentral:rRNA from 1 species